UACGUAGGGUGCGAGCGUUGUCCGGAAUUAUUGGGCGUAAAGGGCUCGUAGGCGGUCUGUCGCGUCGGGAGUGAAAACCAGGUGCUUAACACCUGGCUUGCUUUCGAUACGGGCAGACUAGAGGUAUUCAGGGGAGAACGGAAUUCCUGGUGUAGCGGUGAAAUGCGCAGAUAUCAGGAGGAACACCAAUUGCGAAGGCAGCUCGCUGGGACGUUACUGACGCUGAGGCGCGAAAGCGUGGGGAGCAAACAGG
rnacentral:rRNA from 1 species